AAGAGGAGAGAGCUGUGUGUGGAUGCUGGCAGUGGAGGAGAGGCAAGAUGAGAUGCAGUAAAGCGAAUAAAUACGGAUAAAACAGGAGUCUGGGAAGGAAGGAGUCUUUUGCUGCUAUCUGUGGAAAUAAUCGGGCCAUAACAAUUGGGAAUAGUGAUGGAGAGAACACCUCAUCUGAGACAUUUCAACAUCAUUCGUGCAGGGGGACUUUGACAAUGGGAGUAAAUUUCAGCCUUUCACAUUUUUUCAUCAAGAUAACAGCUUUGGCAUAGAAGCCACCUGCACAGUCUCUGUUUUUAGUCUUGCCUGGCAUUUUCAAGUAAGGUGAAUUUAACAUGUACUGGGUGGAGAAGGGAUUCCACUGAAUUCUGUCCACCUUGCUGUUGUCAUUGUUGUUUCCCAAGCAGACUGGAAAAAUAUGUAACUGAGCUAUUUUCAUGUUAAGCCUCUUUGCACCUUUUCUUCAUUUAAGCUUUUUACUAUUUUCGGCCUGAAUCGUCCUUGCUUUUGUAGGAAAGGCACCGUGACUUUGUCUUCCAUUUAGC
rnacentral:lncRNA from 1 species